UCGCUCCUACCGAUUGAAUGAUCCGGUGAAGUCUUUGGACCGUCACUCUUUUGCAGGCAACUGCAGUUGAGCGGUGGGAAAUCGCCUAAACCUUAUCAUUUAGAGGAAGGAG
rnacentral:rRNA from 1 species